rnacentral:rRNA from 1 species
GUGUCAGCAGCCGCGGUAAGACGUAGGGUGCAAGCGUUGUCCGGAUUUAUUGGGCGUAAAGAGCUCGUAGGCGGCUUGUUGCGUCGACCGUGAAAACCUACCGCUUAACGGUGGGCUUGCGGUCGAUACGGGCAGGCUAGAGUUCGGUAGGGGAGACUGGAAUUCCUGGUGUAGCGGUGAAAUGCGCAGAUAUCAGGAGGAACACCGGUGGCGAAGGCGGGUCUCUGGGCCGAUACUGACGCUGAGGAGCGAAAGCGUGGGGAGCAAACAGGAUUAGAUACCCUGGUAGUCC